rnacentral:rRNA from 1 species
UACGGAGGGUGCAAGCGUUGUCCGGAAUCACUGGGCGUAAAGGGCGCGUAGGCGGCUUGGUAAGUCAUCUGUGAAAUCCCGGUGCUCAACGCCGGGGCUGCAGGUGAGACUGCCUGGCUAGAGCUUGGUAGGGGCGAGUGGAAUUCCCGGUGUAGAGGUGAAAUUCGUAGAUAUUGGGAAGAACACCGGUGGCGAAGGCGGCUCACUGGCUCGUUUCUGACGCUCAGGCACGAAAGCAUGGGGAGCAAAAGGG